UACAGAGGGAGCGAGCGUUGUUCGGAAUUACUGGGCGUAAAGGGCGCGUAGGCGGUCCGAUAAGUCCCGUGUGAAAUCCCUCGGCUCAACUGAGGAACGGCACGGGAAACUGACGGGCUUGAGUUCGGGAGAGGGAAGCGGAAUUCCGGGUGUAGCGGUGAAAUGCGUAGAAUAUCCGGAGGAACACCGGUGGGCGAAGGCGGCUUCCUGGACCGACACUGACGCUGGAGGCGCGAAAGCUAGGGGAGCAAACGGG
rnacentral:rRNA from 1 species